AGCAUACCAACCCACAACUCUUAUUCUUUGCAAUGAGUGUACCUGCAUUACCUACGCACCUUGGACAUAAAAACCCAAGGGCAGAGUAUAGGAUAUUUGAUACCCUCCUAACCUCAACAUCUGAGGAAAGGGAUUUAGGAGUUAUUAUUUCAGAUGACUUAAAGCUAGGAAGACAAUGUAAUAGAGCAGCAGGAAAUGCUAGCAGAAUGCCUGGUUGUAUAGGGAGAGGUAUUAGCAGUAGAAAGAGGGAAGUUCUCAUGCCACUGUACAGAACACUGGUGAGAUCUCACUUGGAGUAUUGUAUGCAGUACUGGAGACCGUAUCUCCAGAAGGAUAUUGAUACUUUAGAGAGAGUUCAGAGAAGGGUUACUAAGCUGGUUCGUGGAUUGCAGGAUAAAACCAGGAAAGGUUUAAGAAUCUUAACAUGUAUAGCUUGGAGGAAAG